UGGCCUCAAGCACAAGGCAGAGGCCGACUGGCUCCUCCUGGGCCUUAGGGCCCUCAGGACCCGUGUUUCCCGGCCACCCUCCCAGUGGCUGCCCCCUGCCAGGCCCACAAGUGUCAACGCCCCCGGCUUUGUCUAAGGUUUGGUGCAGGAUCUGAGUCUCCCGAGUGCUCCCGAGUGAGGAGGAAGGACAGCUUCCUGUUCCAGAAGGGCAGCUCCUGCCUGAGCUCGGUUCCUGGCACCUUUUGUCCCUUGGUCAGUGUUCCUUGGAGGAGGGAGGCCGCAGCAGGUUGGUGGCCGCAGGACUUGAACCCAGGCCCACCUAACUCCACAACCCAGCGGCUCUCUGGGUCCCGGCUUCCUCCCGAGCAGCGGUCAGCCCAGCGGCAGCGGCUCUUCCCCGGGGACAUGCUCCCGGCCAGCCUCGUCCUCAGCCCUGGCCGCUACAGACGCUGCCCAUGAAUCAAGCUGACGUUUCCAUUACCCGCGGGAAACGAGUGUGUGGCCAGGCACGGGGUGGCUUCGGCGGGGGUGGUGGGGACAAUUGCUGGUCACUGUCACCAGCCUAGGAGGACGUCAACCCUGUUAACUCGUCACCUCCCGCCAGAGGGUGAACCCUGGCCCCAGGUUCGCCUGCACCUGGCAGAAGAGGGGCCACCGGGCAGAGGAGCCCAGGGCCUCUGAGGGUCACAUGCGGGGGCCACCAGGCUCAGCACACAGCCGGGCACAGGGAGCCGGGGCCUGUGGGGACAGAGAGGCUGAGCUCGGGCGCCCAGGGGAGAGCAGGGCCGCGGGUCGGGCCCGGUGUGGUGUCCACACCACAGGCACACACCCAAGGCCAUCAGGGUCAGCACAAGUCCACUCAGCACAGGGGACUGUUCUCUGGGAAAGCGCUUUGCAGGGGCAGAGGAAGGCACCCCGUCCUCUGUGUGUUCCCCAGGGGCCCCCAGGUGGCAUGCCCCUCCUCCCAAGCCAACAGUGGCCUUAGUUCCCUCCAAGUAACUCUCAGUGGCUCCUGGAUUAGUCACCUGAACAUCCUGGAAGUGCUCCCUGUUAUCUAACCAGCAGCCCUCUUGUUACACUGGAAAAUAGCUAGUUUCCAGCCCCUUCCGGACGUGCUCAGGAGGAGACAGGAGGACUUGAAGUCCCAGUGGCCCCGUGACCCUCCUACCUCUUCCCUUCCCAUGUGACAGGGGCCCUUGCAAGCCGCCCCCACGCCAUGAUCACACACCAGUGCAGGAUUGUUUAUUUGAUAUUUCCUUUGAGCCACCUCUUUGCUUGUUACUGAAAUGCCCCUUUGGCUUCAUCCCAGAGGGAAGUCCAUGACUCGGUGGCUUGGUGGCUCUGAUGUGGCUGGAGACACUGUUUUCUAACACACAGAAACACGACUGUUAAAAGAGAUGGAGAUCGUCCCAGUGUCAACUACAGCCACCCCUGGGUCUCCUGGGGCCUGUUGGCCGACUUCAGUUGACCCCGGUGACAAUAAAGCCGCUUGGUGACCUGG